rnacentral:rRNA from 1 species
UACGUAGGCAGCAAGCGUUGUUCGGAAUUACUGGGCGUAAAGGGUGCGUAGGCGGCUUUUUAAGUUUGGUGUGAAAUCUCCCGGCUCAACUGGGAGGGUGCGCCGAAUACUGAGAAGCUAGAGUGUGGGAGAGGAAAGUGGAAUUCCUGGUGUAGCGGUGAAAUGCGUAGAUAUCAGGAGGAACACCAGUGGCGAAGGCGGCUACCUGGACCAGCACUGACACUGAGGCACGAAAGCGUGGGGAGCAAACAGG